rnacentral:misc_RNA from 1 species
GCAGUUUCUGCGACAUCAAGGCCUACAAAUACAAAAAUAAACAUAAAGGUUAGUUGAAGUGCAUCUCACAAAACAUUCUUCCAAGCGUUAUUUAGCAUUGUUAUGUAUGGGUAGAUACUGAAUGUACUGAUGGUAGUCGGUAAAUAAACAAAUGGAAGACUAGUUGGUAUCCUCUUAGAUACAGGAGACCUGAAACAGUUGUUCAUGCUCAAAUAAACUCUGCAAUUACUGUUUGGACUUGCAUUAAUCCAAAUAUAGCUGUUAAAAAUAAAGCAAAAAUAUAAUCCACUUUAGGGAAAAGGAGGAAGAAAAAAAAAAUCUUUCCUAGACCUACUUCAAUGCCUUCAAAAUAGCAACGCAAUGCAAUUCUUAAAUGAAACCUUACAACUUCUAGGGGCUUGGAGUGAUGCAAGGCCAAGAUGCUUUGUAGGGCUAGCCACCCACCAUCCAGAUGAUGGCCCAGAGAAUUGUUUCACUAAACAAGAGGCAGUGCAAAAACUAAUUCAUGAAUUCUCAUAUAAUAGAGAGAACUAUUGGAUUGUCUUAAAAACUCAAAUGAACAGACUCAUGAACAAUCUGCUUCACCUAACAGAAAACUAAGUCAAGAUAUGGUCCUUUAACUCCACUAAGAAGUCUUCAAAAUAAAGCCUCUUAGACAUUCACAAAUGCGAUGAUGAUGAACCUUAAAGAAAUGGACACAAGUGGAGAUUGUUUGCAGAAUCUCACAAAGGCAUUCUGAUAGAUGUCUUACAAUUUGGUUAUUCUUCUGCACUACAAUUGAUACUUUAGUAACCUCUCAACCCCACUGUUUCCCAUCACAGCAGAUAAGUGAGAAUUAGUUUUCUCUUUCUUGCUAAGUACAGAUAAAAAAAGUCGCACAAUGGGAACAACUAAGUACAUGGUAUACAACAGUAGCCCAAAGGACAGAGCAGAAAACUCCCGACUUUUUUGAGCCUGCAACUAUUCAAGAAAUCCAGAAAAAGGAAAAUACAAAAAUAAAAACAAGAAUCCAGCUGUACAGAAAUAUCAGAAACAGAAGCUUCCAUCUUGCAAAGGACAAGUUGCAUGAUUUUGGAGAGAAAAAGGCUCAAAUUCCACAAAAAUAUUAAUUAAUGGCUUGAUUCCCCACAACAUGAAACAUGUUCCCAUUUCCCAAAUGGGCAAACCCAUCAUUGAGUCAACCAACAAAAAAAGGCAGCAUUAGGAAAAUUAUUGCUAUACACCCAGCAAAGAACCAUUGGAAAGAGACGUUCCAGAAACCUUGGCAAGAAAGAAGAAGGUGACCAACAAUUUACAGUAGGUAGGAAUGAAAUGGGCAAGAAGUGGCAAGCAUAAACUGUUCAAUUAAAGUAUGUCAUAUAUAGGAAUGAAUGCCAUUGGUCAAGAUACAAUUCCACUCAAUUGAACUAACUUUUGAUCCCAAACUAUCCAGAUAAUCAGCAAAAAUUUCAUCCCAUGCAAACAAUCAACCAGUCACUCUUCAAUAUUCCAAAUUCCCAAUCAUCGUAAAUAUUCAUCAGAUUAUUUACAUUUCAAAUGGGAAGUUCAAAAGCAGAAUUAUUUUUAACAGUUAAAAACAAAAUGUUAAAAAUGACGCCAGGAAUUAGUUAAAGGCACAUGUUCCAAAGAAAAGACCUAUAGAUAAUUUGUGUCAACAUACUAAAUUAGUAAGUAACCAUAAUGAGAGAAAAAUGACUUUUUUUUGCCACAUAUAAUACUCAAUCAAUAGUAAUUGCAUGACAUAUCGGAGGCUUACCUGAUGAAAAAUAUAAUGGCAGG